rnacentral:lncRNA from 1 species
CAAGAGUUUCUCUACAGUUGAAGUCAUAGGACUGAUGAGUCUUCUAAGUCCCUGGGCCAGGCAUGUAGAUGGACCAUCAGAACCCCCGGAAAGAUGCUUGCCUUGGAGUCGCCUGUGGAGACCUCACCUCAGGUCUCAUAAUCCUCCGGCUAUAAACAGCACUGGCCUUCUACUGAACCACAGGGUGUAGAGGUGAGAGACUGUCGUUGAGAGCUG